GAUGAACGCUGGCGGCGUGCCUAAUACAUGCAAGUCGAGCGAACGGACGAGAAGCUUGCUUCUCUGAUGUUAGCGGCGGACGGGUGAGUAACACGUGGAUAACCUACCUAUAAGACUGGGAUAACUUCGGGAAACCGGAGCUAAUACCGGAUAAUAUUUUGAACCGCAUGGUUCAAAAGUGAAAGACGGUCUUGCUGUCACUUAUAGAUGGAUCCGCGCUGCAUUAGCUAGUUGGUAAGGUAACGGCUUACCAAGGCAACGAUGCAUAGCCGACCUGCGAGGGUGAUCGGCCACACUGGAACUUAGACACGGUCAAGACUCCUACGGGAGGCAGCAGUAGGGAAUCUUCCGCAAUGGGCGAAAGCCUGACGGAGCAACGCCGCGUGAGUGAUGAAGGUCUUCGGAUCGUAAAACUCUGUUAUUAGGGAAGAACAUAUGUGUAAGUAACUGUGCACAUCUUGACGGUAACUAAUCAGAAAGCCACGGCUAACUACGUG
rnacentral:rRNA from 1 species